rnacentral:lncRNA from 1 species
UCGUGGUGGUAGUAGUAACAAUCUGUUAUCAUCUUGGAGCUAGAUCCCAAGUAGAUCCAAUUGUUAUGUGGUUUUAUCUUCGAUCUUGAUCCUAAUGUGAUGCGGUUUUCUCUUUCAAUUUAGAUCCAGUUGCUACUAUUUCUUUUUACUAGUAAGAUAGGUUUAAUUAAGUAACAUUAUUAUUGGUAACACUUUAAUCUGGUCAGUUCAAAAAUGUAGUAACGGACUUUCCCCCUUCAUCCGGUCAGUUCAAAAACAGAGCAAUAGACA